rnacentral:rRNA from 1 species
AGUCAACCUACCCUAUGGACGGGAAUAACCUCGGGAAACUGAGUAUAAUGCCCGAUAGAACACUAUACCUGGAAUGGUUUGUGUUCCAAAUGAUUUAUCGCCGUAGGAUGGGACUGCGGCCUAUCAGUUUGUUGGUGAGGUAAUGGCCCACCAAGACUAUUACAGGUACGGGCUCUGAGAGGAGUAGCCCGGAGAUGGGUACUGAGACACGGACCCAGGCCCUAUGGGGCGCAGCAGGCGAGAAAACUUUGCAAUGUGCGAAAGCACGACAAGGUUAAUCCGAGUGGUUUGUGCUAAACGAACCUUUUGACAGUCCUAGAAACACUGUUGAAUAAGGGGUGGGCAAGUUCUGGUGUCAGCCGCCGCGGUAAAACCAGCACCUCAAGUGGUCAGGAUGAUUAUUGGGCCUAAAGCAUCCGUAGCCGGCUCUAUAAGUUUUCGGUUAAAUCUGUACGCUCAACGUACAGGCUGCCGGGAAUACUGCAGAGCUAGGGAGUGGGAGAGGUAGACGGUACUCGGUAGGAAGGGGUAAAAUCCUUUGAUCUAUUGAUGACCACCUGUGGCGAAGGCGGUCUACCAGAACACGUCCGACGGUGAGGGAUGAAAGCUGGGGGAGCAAACCGGAUUAGAUACCCGGGUAGUCCCAGCUGUAAACUAUGCAAACUCAGUGAUGCAUUGGCUUGUGGCCAAUGCAGUGCUGCAGGGAAGCCGUUAAGUUUGCCGCCUGGGAAGUACGUACGCAAGUAUGAAACUUAAAGGAAUUGGCGGGGGAGCACCACAAGGGGUGAAGCCUGCGGUUC